CGACCGAAACGGGAGGAGCUCAGCGCGUAGGCUGUAGGUUGUCAUUCAUGGCAUUCCUACAAGCGAUGCCGCGUUUGGGAGGAAUCUAGGUGGAGCUGGCGUCCCCCUAAGUUUGCACUGAAUGUCGACUCACUGUCCACAGAGGGUGUAAGACCCGUGGGGAGGCGCGAGUUUUUACCGCAGGUUCCUCUCUAGAGUCGGGUUGCUUCUAAUCGCAGCCCUAAGCAGGUGGUAAACUCCAUCUAAGGCUAAAUACCCCCACGAGACCGAUAGCGAACAAGUACCGCGAGGGAAAGUUGAAAAGAACUUUGAAGAAAGAGUUCAAGAGAACGUGAAACUGCCACGAGGUUAAAGCGAGUGGGCGUAAGUACUCGAGGCGGCUAUUGGCGUCAUUUCCGGGAGUGAAAGGCGCGGUUGCGGUCGGAUCGCCCCUAGGUCGCUCCUCUUUUGGUCGAUCGAAGGGGGGACUUGCCCUUCCGCGACGCUUUCUCCUUGGGGUGACCCCGAAGUCGUAGUAGAGCGUCGCGGCCGUUGAAGCGGUGUCGAUGACCCGGGGGCCUGGGAACCGUUGCGCUACGAGACGACGCGGGUUCGCCCGUUCGUGGAGUGCGUGGCGGGGACGCCUCGGUGUUCUGGCGGCCGCCUCGACGGUUUCACGUGAAGUAUACGGAGCUGUCGAAAUGGAGCGGGGGAGGUGUGUAGGCAAUUGGCCUGGUGCCGGAGGCCGAUAAUCACCCCCGUUCAUU
rnacentral:rRNA from 1 species